CACUUAGGGAGGUUAGACUCACACCAUCCGGCUACAGGGGACCUGCCCCUUAAAGAGGCAGGAAAUGUUUCCGUCCUAUGCAAUUUUAUAGCAUUGGCCCAUAGCUGGCUUUGGGAUUUUUUUUUUUUUUCUUUGUCUCCCUCACUUUAUCUGAAAAGGCUAGUGGGAACGGAGGGAAAGGAAAGGGGCCGUUGGCACCUGGGUACGGAGUGAGUUCGAUUCCCAUCCAUUCUCUGUUCUCGGGGCGUGUUUCGUUUCACAUUUCAUGUCUGGAAUGUUGACUCUGCCCUUAAAGACUGACCCCGCCGCUGACCAGAGCCUCUCCACGGCCGUAACCUGGAGGCUGGACUGGAGCCUUGAGCUGUUUGCCAGAUCUUUCUGUGAUCUUGCUGAACACAGGGUGAGACCUCACUGCAAGUUAACAGACCCAGCUUCUGAGUAUACGGGUUGGGAAGGAAGGUCAGGGACUUCAUUUCAGAGGAAACGCUGUCUUCUCAGGCAUUCAUUCACUCAUCUGCAGGUAGGUGAGACACAGGCACAAAUGUUUCUUUGCAAUGAGUAAAGCAUAUGAUGUGUCCCAUGGUGAUAAAUUCUGUGGUGAAAAUAAAGCAAGGUACGGUGAUAAUGCUGGGCUGCGGAUGGGGAAAUGUCAGGUAGAGUGUCUUUGGAUUUGUUUGAACUCUCGGUUGAUAAUCUGAAAUUCCUAUACCUGUUGGCUCUCAUGGUGGGUAAAUGAGCUCUUAACACUCAACAUUAUGAGAAGAAACAUCAUCAUUGCACUAGAUGAGUAAUUGGCUGGAGUUCCCAUUGUGGCUCAGUGGGUUAAGAACCCAGCCUCGUCCUAAGGAUGCAGUUUCAGUCCCAGUCUCGCUCAGUGGGUUAAGGAUGCCAUGUUGCCAUGGCAGUGGCGUAAGCUGGCAUCGGCAGCUCCGAUUCGACCCCUAGCCUGGGAACUUCCAUAUGCGGAGAUUGUGACUGUAAAAAGAAAAUUUUAAAGAAAACAGAAGUAGUUGGCUAUCUGAUCCUCAUUUCAUGGAGGAAAGGGAAAAUUGUCAUUUAUUGAACACUUGGCUUUGCUGGGCUUUGAAACUGUUAGUGCUGUUAUAGCGGCAAUUCAGUCCCCCCUUGAACUUCUUUGUGUGCACCUUUGAAAUAACACACUGGGCCAAGUGAAAGUAGUACCUUGGUCCACCCAGAAAAUCAGGAAGCAGAACACAGAAGUUGACAGAUGUUGCUUUGUUGGAGACAAACGCCACAGUGACGUAAACAUUUUCUUUUUGGGACCAGAAGCCCCCGCAAGCCAGGAAACCAUCCUUUCCCACUCCCUUCAUCCAUCAGGCAUCUUCUGAAGAGACAGAAGGAUCCAGUGCUUCAGAGAUUCUGAUCAGCAUGCUCAGGUGGCCACAUAUGAAAACACUCUUUGGAGUUCCCGUUGUGGCUCAGUGGAUUAAGGGCCUGACAUAGUCUCCAUGAGGAUGCAGGUUCAGUCCCUGGCCUUGCUCAGUGGGUUAAGGAUCCAGUGUUGCCAUGGCUGCAGCAUAGGCCUCAGUUGCAGCUCCGAUUCAACCCCUGGCCCAGGACUUCCAUAGGCUGCAGGCGUGGCUGGAAAAAAGAGAAAAGGAAAAAAAGAAAGAAAAUACACCAAGGCCCACCCCCCGGUGCUAAGCUCCGCAAGAAAGCAGGGCCUGGGAACAGGACGUGAGUUUGAUACAGGCUCUGAACACACUGAAAAGCUUGAGAAGCAGUCUUACAGACAGCUUAGUGGAUUUGCCUGUUAUACUGAAAUGUUCACAAAACCGCUUCUAGGAGCGUUGUGCAGAGAUGGUGAUGCCUCAUCGACAUCUAAGCCCCGUCGCGCCUGCCCUGAGCAAUGUGUGGACUGCCUCUGUCCUCGGAAACGAAGCCUAGACCUCCAGCUCCCAGACGGUGGCAGGGAGCUCUGUGACCCCGUCUCCCAUCCGCGAACCCAGGGGGUGUGCCGAGCGGGGGUGGAGGUGAGAUUGGAGAAGGGCUGCUUCUGGGGGCGCUUUCCAACAGGACUGAGAAGGACUGGUUCCCACAGCCUCUCGGGGGCUGGGUGAAGAAUUUGGCCCUUACAGCCCCUUCCCUGGAACCCAGUGGGCCUCUUCUCCGCCUCCUCCGUCUGCCUGGGAGCCCACACGUCUCCACCGGGUGGGGGCAGGGCAAGGGUUUCCCAGGCCCGGGACGCAGUCCAGAAGUUCAUGCCAGUAAGGUCAGGAUUUCCUGCAGCCUCUGCACUCAAGUUUCCUCCGGGUCAGCUGGUCCCCAGAGCGGGUCCCGGAGCCCCCCAGACACCGCUGCGGGCGCUGCUUCCUAUGGAUUCUGCCCUUUCCCACACUCUAGGGAGGAAAACAACAAACCAAACCAAACCAAACCUUUGUAUCCCUAGCUUCUUAUCUGCCUUCCUUAUCCUAUAUGCCUGCCUUCCUUAUCUCUCCUCAUCCUACUCCAAAUUUGAAUACAAGUCACCUAAAAUUAUUCUCAAGAUUUUUAAAGCUGCAGAUCCACGGCAUCACCCCUUCGGUCCCCCCAUGAAACAGUUGGGAUGUGACCCUGUGCCCCAGCCCACCAGUGGGGUUGCUCUGCCCUGCUUGGGAGCAGUAACAGCUCCAGCCUCCUCUUGAACUUGUGCCAAGACAUCCUGUGUUUAAGGAGGGUUGAAAUUCCCCACGGCGUUUUCUUUCUGGUGUCUUAAAUAGUUGCUUAUGUUUCCCACAGGAAACUUUACAGUUAGUGUGCAUUCCUAAAUCGAUUUCCCCCCGCCUCGUGUUUCCUUUCCUCUUGAGCAAAUCCUCAGGCGAUGCAGGAUGGGCUUUUUUGCCAGUGUGACCUCUCAUGGCAGCACGAGACAUUUCCCUUUGCACCGCGCGCUUUGAUCCAUGGGAGCCAGUUUUCUUAUUUGCUCUGUACAUCUCAGCCAUUGCCUUGUUCAGGACUCUGUUGCACACGUGAGAAGCAUCUCCAAAGUCCAAUCAGCUCCCCUUAUUUUUUUUCAACUCACUAAUGGUUUUCUCUUAACAGCUCCAAGGGCUCCUUGUGGGGCUGGCCAUGUGACACCAGCCCCUCCAAACUCUCAAAGCCAAUGUCAGUUUGCCAGGUAUCAUUUCCGGGUUAUACAUGAAGCACCGCAGCAAAGGGAAACAGACUUGCUCAGCUAGAAGUGCCUGGUAGCCACAGAGAAAUGUUCCCAGUUAGAACCCUCUAGGGGGUAGGUCAUUUCAGAGCAUUUCUUUUGAAGGGGUAAAAAGACCAAUCAGAAAAUAGAAUCAAGGAAUUCCCAUCAUGGCUCAGUGGUAAUGAACCCGACUGGUAUCCAUAAGGAUACAGGUUUGAUCCCUGGCCUCGCUCAGUGGGUCAAGGAUCCAGCAUUGCCAUGAGCUGAGUUGUAGGUCACAGACAUGGCUUGGAUUCUGCGUUGCUGUGGCUGUGGUGUAGGCAGGCAGCUACAGCUCUGAUUCAGCCCCUAGCCUGGAAACCUCCAUAUGCCCCUGGUGUGGC
rnacentral:lncRNA from 1 species